rnacentral:rRNA from 1 species
AGAGUUUGAUCCUGGCUCAGAUUGAACGCUGGCGGCAGGCCUAACACAUGCAAGUCGAGCGGUAGCACAGAGAGCUUGCUCUCGGGUGACGAGCGGCGGACGGGUGAGUAAUGUCUGGGAAACUGCCUGAUGGAGGGGGAUAACUACUGGAAACGGUAGCUAAUACCGCAUAACGUCGCAAGACCAAAGAGGGGGACCUUCGGGCCUCUUGCCAUCAGAUGUGCCCAGAUGGGAUUAGCUAGUAGGUGGGGUAAUGGCUCACCUAGGCGACGAUCCCUAGCUGGUCUGAGAGGAUGACCAGCCACACUGGAACUGAGACACGGUCCAGACUCCUACGGGAGGCAGCAGUGGGGAAUAUUGCACAAUGGGCGCAAGCCUGAUGCAGCCAUGCCGCGUGUAUGAAGAAGGCCUUCGGGUUGUAAAGUACUUUCAGCGAGGAGGAAGGCAUUGUGGUUAAUAACCACAGUGAUUGACGUUACUCGCAGAAGAAGCACCGGCUAACUCCGUGCCAGCAGCCGCGGUAAUACGGAGGGUGCAAGCGUUAAUCGGAAUUACUGGGCGUAAAGCGCACGCA